UGCUGUCGCAGGGGGCCCUGGGAGCAGUGCUGGGCCCCCACCUCCCAGUGAGGAGGCUGCUGAGCCAGAGGCCAGACUGGUGGAGGUCACUGAGUCCUCCAAUCAGGACGCACUUUCCGGCUCCAGUGACCUGCUGGAACUUCUGCUGCAAGAGGACUCACGCUCCGGCACAGGCUCCGCAGCCUCGGGCUCCUUGGGCUCUGGCUUGGGCUCUGGGUCUGGUUCAGGCUCCCAUGAGGGGGGCAGCACCUCAGCCAGCAUCACUCGUGAGUACCCCACCUCCAGCAUCUCCCAGGGUAGGGCAGUGAUUGGGGAGCCGGGAGCCCAGGCCCCGUCUUGGCGGAGCUUCCUAAGGCCACUGGGACGG
rnacentral:sRNA from 1 species